rnacentral:misc_RNA from 1 species
GCUCAUUCCACAUACACCAAAGCUUCACAGUUUAACUUGCUACUGUACGCUGAAAUGCAACACUCUCUAGGCCAUUGGUGGAGCGAGCAAUUUUACUUGGGGGCAGUGGUCUACACUUAUAUUAUUGUAAAUUGGAUUGUUGACCUUUAUUUAUAGUUCCUACACAUAAACUAUUAUAGGUUCCAUAUUGGAUUUGGCAUAAAUGGCACUGGAGCUCAUACCUAUAGGAACCAUUUUGGCUGUGCUGACAAAUCAGGUCCUAAAAACAGCUCAGGCUGCAAAGGAUGUUAUAAUUGAGAAGGAGAGUUUCAGGGUUCUGUCAAAGCAUCUAUUUGAUAUUGAACCUGUGUUAAAGGAAUUGCAACUUAAAAAAUUGAAUGAUUCUCAAGCUGCAAGGCUAGCCCUUGAAACACUUGAAGUGGAUGUCAAAAAGGCAAGUAACUUGGUUGAGAAAUAUAAAAAUCGAGCCCGUUUCUAUUUAUUGUUGAGGUGCCGGCACAUUGUCAAUGAGGUACAGGAAGUCACUAGGGAUAUUGGAAGGUCUUUGGCUGCAUUAUCCCUUGCAAAUACUGAAGUUCUUGCAGGAAUAUCUGACCAGGUGAAUAGGCUACAGAAUGAAAUGCAAAGGGUGGAAUUUGAAGCAUCACAUUCUCAGCUUCAAAUUGUUGACAAGUUAAAUCAGGGCCUUCGGGAUCAGAAACUUGAUCAGGGUUUUGCAAAUGACAUACUUGAAGAAAUAGCUCGGGCAGUUGGGGUUCCUGUAGAACCUUCAGAAAUAAGCAAAGAACUGGCAAGCUUUAGAAAGGAAAAAGAAGAAGCUGCCAGCCGAAAAGAAAGGGCUGAAGUUCUCUUCUUAGAGCAGGUUAUUGAGCUGCUUUCUCGAGCUGAUGCUGCUAGAGAUUAUGAAGAAGUCAAGAAGCAGUAUUUUCAGAGGGUUCAGGUUAUAGAGCGGUACGAUGAGAGGGAGGAAUAUAUAGAUCCUCUUUCUCCUUUCCUUUGUCGUAUAAAUGGGACUGUGAUGAAUGAUCCUGUUAGCCUUUGCACUGGUACUACAUGUGAGAGAGCUGCCAUUGAAGCUUGGUUUGACCGUGGAGAGAGAACUGACCCAGAAACUGGUCAGAUUCUUGAGGACAUAACUUUGAGGUCAAACCUUCCCCUUAGACAAUCAAUAGAGGAAU